GGAAAACUAAUUAAAAAAAAUAAUAUAAAGUUGUCAACUUUAAAUCACCUUAUAGGUGUUUUCCUC
rnacentral:tRNA from 1 species